rnacentral:rRNA from 1 species
GACGAACGUUGGCGGCGUGCUUAAUACAUGCAAGUCAACUGAAGCAGUGGUAGCAAUAUCGCUGUGGAGGUGGCGCACGGGUGAGUAACACGUAGGUAAUCUGCCUUCAGGUCUGGCAUAACUCCGGGAAACCGGGGCUAAUAGCAGAUGAUGCAGCGGCUCGACAUCGAGACAGUUGUUAAAGCUAUGGCGCCUGAAGAUGAGCCUGCGUCUGAUUAGCUAGUUGGCGGGGUAACGGCCCACCAAGGCAACGAUCAGUAGCUGGUCUGAGAGGAUGAUCAGGCACACUGGAACUGAGACACGGUCCAGAAUCCUACGGGAGGCAGCAGUAAGGAAUAUUGCUCAAUGGGAGAAAUCCUGAAGCAGCAACGCCGCGUGAGGGACGAAGGGCUUUUGCUUGUAAACCUCUGUAGUGAGAGAAAAAAAUCCCAAUCUUUGGGACAUGAUGGUAUCUCAAAAGUAAGCCCCGGCUAACUACGUG